UACGGAAGGCGCGAGCGUUAAUCGGAAUUACUGGGCGUAAAGGGUGCGUAGGCUGAGAGAUAAGUCAGACGUGAAAUUCCGGAGCUCAACUCCGGAGCUGCAUCUGAAACUAUCUUUCUAGAGGAAGAGCGGAGAAAACGGAAUUCCAUGUGUAGCGGUGAAAUGCGUAGAUAUAUGGAAGAACACCUGUGGCGAAAGCGGUUUUCUAGCUUACUCCUGACGCUGAGGCACGAAAGCAAGGGGAUCAAACAGG
rnacentral:rRNA from 1 species